GAGGCUACUGCCAUCAGCGUUCGAUUAAGCCAUGUUAGUUAAGGGGACCUUCCUUCGGGGAGGUAACCCGGCAGACGGCUCAGUAACACGUGGACAAUUUACCCUUGGGACCAGGAUAACCCCUGGGAAACUGGGGCUAAUACUGGAUAGAGCAUCGGCUGCUGGAAUGCGCGAUGUUCUAAAGCUGAGGCGCCCAAGGAUAGGUCUGCGGCUGAUUAGGUUGUUGUUGAUGUAACGGAUCAACAAGCCCGCGAUCGGUACGGGUUGUGAGAGCAAUAGCCCGGAGAUGGGUUCUGAGAAAAGAACCCAGGUCCUACGGGACGCAUCAGGCGCGAAAACUUUACAAUGUGCGAAAGCGCGAUAAGGGAACUCUGAGUGCCUCCUAAGGAGGCUGUUCAGGUGUCUAAAAAGCAUCUGGAGUAAGGGCUGGGCAAGACCGGUGCCAGCCGCCGCGGUAACACCGGCAGCUCAAGUGGUAGCCAUGUUUAUUGGGUCUAAAGCGUCCGUAGCCGGCUGAGUAAGUUCCUUGGGAAAUUUGACCGCUUAACGGUUAAGCUAUCAGGGAAUACUGCUUGGCUUGGGACCGGGAGAGGUCAGAGGUACUCCAGGGGUAGGGGUGAAAUCUAUUAAUCCUUGGGGGACCACCGGUAGCGAAGGCGUCUGACCAGACCGGGUCCGACGGUGAGGGACGAAGGCUGGGGUCGCGAACCGGAUUAGAUACCCGGGUAGUCCCAGCUGUAAACGAUGCGGGCCAGGUGUUGGCAUUACUGCGAGUGAUGUCAGUGCCAAAGGGAAGCCGUUAAGCCCGCCAUCUGGGGAGUACGGUCGCAAGGCUGAAGCUUAAAGGAAUUGGCGGGGGAGCAC
rnacentral:rRNA from 1 species